AUUAUUCUAUAAUCUACUUUAUUAUUUUAUUAUGAUUAAUAUUUGUAUAUUUCAUGUACUCAACACAAAUGCCUGGUAACACAACAGGAGUUCUUGGAAGGGGAAACUGCUUGAAUAAAGGCAACGCAAUAGGAGAUCUUCAGAAGUUAGCACAUUAAGACCACAGGAAACCUAGGGCAAGCUGGGGGAAGUUGUGGAGAGAGGUGGAAAGAUUGUUUGGGACCUGAGGCUUUUUAUUCCACAUGGAAGAAUUUGAAUGCAAUCCCCCUGAUAAUGGGAAGCCAUGGGUGAUCAGAUCUAUUUUGGAUAAAUACGGCACAAAUGUUUUUUCUAAGUUUGUGACAUGUCUUUUCAUUUCGUUUGUGGUAGGUUUCCAGGAGUGGCACUUACUUCUUUUAAUGUAGUCAUAUUUAUUGUUUCUCUGUAUUUUGUUUAAGAACAACUUCUCUCUUAUGUUAUAUAUGUAUUAAUAGUUUAUCGUUUUCUAAUGUUUUGUAGUUUUGCCCUGCACAUUUAUGCAGUUUAUCCACAAAAUAUUUCUGUGAAAAGUCAGAAUUGUAAUUUAUUUUUCCCCAUAUGCAUAACAAAUGUAGAGGACACUACCCAUUGAGUAAUCCGUCCUCUCCCCACUUAUCUGCAGUGACAGAUUUCACAAGGAUUACAUUCCUACAUUGCCAUUAGUCUGUUCUUAGAGUUCUACUCUCUUCAAUUUGGUCUGUUUUUUUUUUUUAUCAUUAAGUCAAAAUCACACUGUUUUAAUUGGUAGCCUUUAAAACAAAUCUUUAUAUUUUGUUAAUAAAUCUUUAUAUCUUGUUUCCCAUCAUGUUAUUUUCUUUAAUAUUUUGACAAUCUUUUGGCCUUUAUCUUCUCGUAUGUAUUUUAGAUUAAGUUGUCAAUUUCUGUCAAUCAUCUACUGUCUUUUCUAUUGGAAUUAGAUCACAUCUUAGGUUAAUUUUGGGUGAACCAGCAUCGCUACUUGAGUCUUCCCAUCCAUGAGUAUAGUAUGUUUUUCCUUUUAUUUUGGUUUAUAUGAUAGUUUUUCAAAAACCAUAAUUUUAUCCACACAUCACCAUAUGUCAAGUGUUAGUUCUAUUCAUUGAUAUCUUACACAUAGCUUGACCUUUGAAAUACUGUUUGGUGCUGAUAAUUAACACAUGACUUCAUUUAUUUGCUUCUCACGUGUCAGGUUAUUGGUAGCUUU
rnacentral:lncRNA from 1 species